rnacentral:rRNA from 1 species
CAACUUGAGAGUUUGAUCCUGGCUCAGAACGAACGCUGGCGGCAGGCUUAACACAUGCAAGUCGAGCGAAGUCUUCGGACUUAGCGGCGGACGGGUGAGUAACGCGUGGGAACGUGCCCUUCGGUACGGAAUAGCCCAGGGAAACUUGGAUUAAUACCGUAUACGCCCUGCGGGGGAAAGAUUUAUCGCCGAGGGAUCGGCCCGCGUCUGAUUAGGUUGUUGGUGGGGUAACGGCCCACCAAGCCGACGAUCAGUAGCUGGUUUGAGAGGAUGAUCAGCCACACUGGGACUGAGACACGGC